rnacentral:rRNA from 1 species
GAUGAACGCUGGCGGCGUGCCUAAUACAUGCAAGUCGAGCGAACAGACGAGAAGCUUGCUCCUCUGACGUUAGCGGCGGACGGGUGAGUAACACGUGGAUAACCUACCUAUAAGACUGGGAUAACUUCGGGAAACCGGAGCUAAUACCGGAUAAUAUAUUGAACCGCAUGGUUCAAUAGUGAAAGACGGUUUUGCUGUCACUUAUAGAUGGAUCCGCGCCGCAUUAGCUAGUUGGUAAGGUAACGGCUUACCAAGGCAACGAUGCGUAGCCGACCUGAGAGGGUGAUCGGCCACACUGGAACUGAGACACGGUCCAGACUCCUACGGGAGGCAGCAGUAGGGAAUCUUCCGCAAUGGGCGAAAGCCUGACGGAGCAACGCCGCGUGAGUGAUGAAGGUCUUCGGAUCGUAAAACUCUGUUAUUAGGGAAGAACAAAUGUGUAAGUAACGAUGCACGUCUUGACGGUACCUAAUCAGAAAGCCACGGCUAACUACGU